GACGAACGCUGGCGGCGUGCUUAACACAUGCAAGUCGAACGGAAAGGCCCUGCUUGCCGGGUACUCGAGUGGCGAACGGGUGAGUAACACGUGGGUGAUCUGCCCUGCACUUCGGGAUAAGCCUGGGAAACUGGGUCUAAUACCGGAUAGGAGCCAUUCUUAGUGUGAUGGUUGGAAAGUUUUUUCGGUGUAGGAUGAGCUCGCGGCCUAUCAGCUUGUUGGUGGGGUAAUGGCCUACCAAGGCGGCGACGGGUAGCCGGCCUGAGAGGGUGGACGGCCACAUUGGGACUGAGAUACGGCCCAGACUCCUACGGGAGGCAGCAGUGGGGAAUAUUGCACAAUGGGCGCAAGCCGGAUGCAGCGACGCCGCGGGGGGGAUGACGGCCUUAGGGUUGGAAACUCCUUUCGCUAGGGACGAAGCUUUUUGUGACGGUACCUAGAUAAGAAGCACCGGCUAACUACGUG
rnacentral:rRNA from 1 species